UGGGGAACUUUGGACAAUGGGCGAAAGCCUGAUCCAGCAAUGCCGCGUGUGUGAAGAAGGCCUUCGGGUUGUAAAGCACUUUUGUCCGGAAAGAAAUGGCUCUGGUUAAUACCUGGGGUCGAUGACGGUACCGGAAGAAUAAGGACCGGCUAACUACGUGCCAGCAGCCGCGGUAAUACGUAGGGUCCAAGCGUUAAUCGGAAUUACUGGGCGUAAAGCGUGCGCAGGCGGUUGUGCAAGACCGAUGUGAAAUCCCCGAGCUUAACUUGGGAAUUGCAUUGGUGACUGCACGGCUAGAGUGUGUCAGAGGGGGGUAGAAUUCCACGUGUAGCAGUGAAAUGCGUAGAGAUGUGGAGGAAUACCGAUGGCGAAGGCAGCCCCCUGGGAUAACACUGACGCUCAUGCACGAAAGCGUGGGGAGCAAACAGGAUUAGAUACCCUGGUAGUCCACGCCCUAAACGAUGUCAACUAGUUGUUGGGGAUUCAUUUCCUUAUUGUAACGU
rnacentral:rRNA from 1 species